rnacentral:rRNA from 1 species
GAUUAAGUUAUUAAGGGCGCACGGUGGAUGCCUUGGCACUAGAAGCCGAUGAAGGACGUUACUAACGACGAUAUGCUUUGGGGAGCUGUAAGUAAGCUUUGAUCCAGAGAUUUCCGAAUGGGGAAACCCAGCACAAGUUAUGUUGUGUUAUCGACAUGUGAAUACAUAGCAUGUUAGAAGGCAGACCCGGAGAACUGAAACAUCUUAGUACCCGGAGGAAGAGAAAGAAAAUUCGAUUCCCUUAGUAGCGGCGAGCGAAACGGGAAGAGCCCAAACCAACAAGCUUGCUUGUUGGGGUUGUAGGACACUCUAUACGGAGUUACAAAGGACGACAUUAGACGAAUCAUCUGGAAAGAUGAAUCAAAGAAGGUAAUAAUCCUGUAGUCGAAAAUGUUGUCUCUCUUGAGUGGAUCCUGAGUACGACGGAGCACGUGAAAUUCCGUCGGAAUCUGGGAGGACCAUCUCCUAAGGCUAAAUACUCUCUAGUGACCGAUAGUGAACCAGUACCGUGAGGGAAAGGUGAAAAGCACCCCGGAAGGGGAGUGAAAUAGAACCUGAAACCGUGUGCUUACAAGUAGUCAGAGCCCGUUAAUGGGUGAUGGCGUGCCUUUUGUAGAAUGAACCGGCGAGUUACGAUUUGAUGCAAGGUUAAGCAGUAAAUGUGGAGCCGUAGCGAAAGCGAGUCUGAAUAGGGCGUUUAGUAUUUGGUCGUAGACCCGAAACCAGGUGAUCUACCCUUGGUCAGGUUGAAGUUCAGGUAACACUGAAUGGAGGACCGAACCGACUUACGUUGAAAAGUGAGCGGAUGAACUGAGGGUAGCGGAGAAAUUCCAAUCGAACCUGGAGAUAGCUGGUUCUCUCCGAAAUAGCUUUAGGGCUAGCCUCAAGUGAUGAUUAUUGGAGGUAGAGCACUGUUUGGACGAGGGGCCCCUCUCGGGUUACCGAAUUCAGACAAACUCCGAAUGCCAAUUAAUUUAACUUGGGAGUCAGAACAUGGGUGAUAAGGUCCGUGUUCGAAAGGGAAACAGCCCAGACCACCAGCUAAGGUCCCAAAAUAUAUGUUAAGUGGAAAAGGAUGUGGCGUUGCCCAGACAACUAGGAUGUUGGCUUAGAAGCAGCCAUCAUUUAAAGAGUGCGUAAUAGCUCACUAGUCGAGUGACACUGCGCCGAAAAUGUACCGGGGCUAAACAUAUUACCGAAGCUGUGGAUUGUCCUUUGGACAAUGGUAGGAGAGCGUUCUAAGGGCGUUGAAGCAUGAUCGCAAGGACAUGUGGAGCGCUUAGAAGUGAGAAUGCCGGUGUGAGUAGCGAAAGACGGGUGAGAAUCCCGUCCACCGAUUGACUAAGGUUUCCAGAGGAAGGCUCGUCCGCUCUGGGUUAGUCGGGUCCUAAGCUGAGGCCGACAGGCGUAGGCGAUGGAUAACAGGUUGAUAUUCCUGUACCACCUAUAAUCGUUUUAAUCGAUGGGGGGACGCAGUAGGAUAGGCGAAGCGUGCGAUUGGAUUGCACGUCUAAGCAGUAAGGCUGAGUAUUAGGCAAAUCCGGUACUCGUUAAGGCUGAGCUGUGAUGGGGAGAAGACAUUGUGUCUUCGAGUCGUUGAUUUCACACUGCCGAGAAAAGCCUCUAGAUAGAAAAUAGGUGCCCGUACCGCAAACCGACACAGGUAGUCAAGAUGAGAAUUCUAAGGUGAGCGAGCGAACUCUCGUUAAGGAACUCGGCAAAAUGACCCCGUAACUUCGGGAGAAGGGGUGCUCUUUAGGGUUAACGCCCAGAAGAGCCGCAGUGAAUAGGCCCAAGCGACUGUUUAUCAAAAACACAGGUCUCUGCUAAACCGUAAGGUGAUGUAUAGGGGCUGACGCCUGCCCGGUGCUGGAAGGUUAAGAGGAGUGGUUAGCUUCUGCGAAGCUACGAAUCGAAGCCCCAGUAAACGGCGGCCGUAACUAUAACGGUCCUAAGGUAGCGAAAUUCCUUGUCGGGUAAGUUCCGACCCGCACGAAAGGCGUAACGAUUUGGGCACUGUCUCAACGAGAGACUCGGUGAAAUCAUAGUACCUGUGAAGAUGCAGGUUACCCGCGACAGGACGGAAAGACCCCGUGGAGCUUUACUGUAGCCUGAUAUUGAAAUUCGGCACAGCUUGUACAGGAUAGGUAGGAGCCUUUGAAACGUGAGCGCUAGCUUACGUGGAGGCGCUGGUGGGAUACUACCCUAGCUGUGUUGGCUUUCUAACCCGCACCACUUAUCGUGGUGGGAGACAGUGUCAGGCGGGCAGUUUGACUGGGGCGGUCGCCUCCUAAAAGGUAACGGAGGCGCUCAAAGGUUCCCUCAGAAUGGUUGGAAAUCAUUCAUAGAGUGUAAAGGCAUAAGGGAGCUUGACUGCGAGACCUACAAGUCGAGCAGGGUCGAAAGACGGACUUAGUGAUCCGGUGGUUCCGCAUGGAAGGGCCAUCGCUCAACGGAUAAAAGCUACCCCGGGGAUAACAGGCUUAUCUCCCCCAAGAGUCCACAUCGACGGGGAGGUUUGGCACCUCGAUGUCGGCUCAUCGCAUCCUGGGGCUGUAGUCGGUCCCAAGGGUUGGGCUGUUCGCCCAUUAAAGCGGUACGCGAGCUGGGUUCAGAACGUCGUGAGACAGUUCGGUCCCUAUCCGUCGUGGGCGUAGGAAAUUUGAGAGGAGCUGUCCUUAGUACGAGAGGACCGGGAUGGACAUACCUCUGGUGUACCAGUUGUCGUGCCAACGGCAUAGCUGGGUAGCUAUGUGUGGACGGGAUAAGUGCUGAAAGCAUCUAAGCAUGAAGCCCCCCUCAAGAUGAGAUUUCCCAACUUCGGUUAUAAGAUCCCUCAAAGAUGAUGAGGUUAAUAGGUUCGAGGUGGAAGCAUGGUGACAUGUGGAGCUGACGAAUACUAAUCGAUCGAAGACUUAAUCAA